UUUCCGUAGGUGAACCUGCGGAAGGAUCAUUAAUAAAUUUUUUUAGGUUGAAAUACGAACCUAAAAAUAUAAUAUCCUACCUUGUGAAUUUGUUGUUUGAAAUAAUUUUUAAAAAAUUAUUUAUAGUUUGUCUAUCCUGAGUUGUAAGAGAAGUAAUUCUUUGAAGCUUAGGAAUAGGCUUAUCUAUAAAUAUGAUUUUAAAGACCUUUUUUAAAUUAAACUUUUGUAUUCAUUUGUCUAAAUUAUUUUUAAUAAUUUAAAAACAACUUUUGACAAUGGAUCUCUUGGUUCUGCACGAUGAAGAACGCAGCAAAAUGCGAUAAGUAAUGUGAAUUGCAGAAUACGUGAUCAUCAAAUCUUCGAACGCAUAUUGCACUUUUUUAGUUUACUAAAAAGUAUGUCUGUUUGAGUAUCAGUAAAAUAUUCUCAUAAAAAUUUAUUUUUUAUGGUUUUGAGUGUUUUACAACGAUACAAGUUGUUUCACUUUAAUUGACUUUAAAUUGCCUAUUAAUUUAAUCAAUUUUAAAAUUGCAUAAAUUUUCCCGUAAAAGGAAUAACCUAUCAAUUUUAAAAUUAACUGAUAUUAAAAGGCCUUGAUAAAAGGAAAUUUAAUUAAAUAACUUGAUCUCAAAUCAGAUAAGAGUACCCGCUGAACUUAAGCAUAUCAUAAGCGAGGAAAAGAAACUAACAAGGAUUCCCUAGUAACGGCGAGUGAGCGGGAAGAGCUCAAAUUUGAAUCUUCAAGGUUUGACCUCGACGAAUUGUAGUUUAAAGAAGUGUUUCGGUUAGAGGAGUGGUAAAGUUCUUUGGAAUAGGACAUCAUAGAGGUGAGAAUCCGUAUUUGACCAUUCUUCUAGCUUUGUGAUACACUUUCAAAGAGUCGGAUUGUUUGGAAUGCAGUCCAAAUGGUGGUAAAUUCAUCUAAAGCUAAAUAUUGCGAGAGACGAUAGCGAACAAGUACCGUGAGGGAAAGAUGAAAAGAACUUUGAAAGAGAGUUAAACAGUACGUGAAAUUGUCAAAGGGAAGCGUUUGACACCAGUGUUGUUUUCCGAAAUCAAUUAAAAAUGAAUUCAUGCCAGUUGUAUUGACCUUAUCAGCUUGCAAUUUGGUUUUGGGUUCUUUUUGAUGCACUUUUCGGUAACAAGUCAACAUCAAUUUCCUUUGCUGUAAAAGGGCAGAGGAAGGUGCUUCAAUUUCGGUUGAAGUGUUUAUAGCCUUUGUCUCUGCAGUCGGGGAGAUUGAGGUCUGCAGCGUAGAUCCUUCGGUUAGAUACAUUCGUGCUAAGUUAUAGCCUUUUAUAGACACUUGUUGACUAUAUCGUCUGUAAUUUACUCCGGUGCUAUUU
rnacentral:misc_RNA from 1 species